GCGCUUGCUUUGGCAGCACAUAUACUGAAACGGAACCAAUACAGAGACGAUCAGCAUGGCCUCUCUGCAGGGAUGACAUGCAAAUUCAUGGAGUGUUCCAUAUUUUC